rnacentral:rRNA from 1 species
UACGAAGGGGGCUAGCGUUGCUCGGAAUCACUGGGCGUAAAGCGCACGUAGGCGGACUCUUAAGUCAGGGGUGAAAUCCUGGAGCUCAACUCCAGAACUGCCUUUGAUACUGGGAGCCUUGAGUUCGGGAGAGGUGAGUGGAACUGCGAGUGUAGAGGUGAAAUUCGUAGAUAUUCGGAAGAACACCAGUGGCGAAGGCGGCUCACUGGACUGGUAUUGACGCUGAGGUGCGAAAGCGUGGGGAGCAAACGGG